GUCCUUCGGGGUGGCCGUGAGUGGCGGACGGGUGAGUAACGCGUGGGAACCUGCCCCCUGGUCCGGGACAACCGCUGGAAACGGCGGCUAAUACCGGAUGUCUCCUGUGGGAGAAAGACUUGUCGCCAGGGGAGGGGCCCGCGUCGGAUUAGCUUGUUGGUGGGGUAACGGCCUACCAAGGCUGCGAUCCGUAGCUGGUCUGAGAGGAUGAUCAGCCACACUGGAACUGACACACGGUCCAGACUCCUACGGGAGGCAGCAGUGAGGAAUUUUGCGCAAUGGGGGAAACCCUGACGCAGCAACGCCGCGUGAGUGAUGAAGGCCCUCGGGUCGUAAAGCUCUGUCAAGUGGGAAGAAACCGCAAUCGGUUAAUACCCGGUUGCCUUGACGGUACCACUGAAGGAAGCACCGGCUAACUCCGUGCCAGCAGCCGCGGUAAUACGGGGGGUGCAAGCGUUACUCGGAAUCAUUGGGCGUAAAGGGCGCGUAGGCGGCCUGGCAAGUCAGUUGUGAAAGCCCGGGGCUCAACCUCGGAAGUGCAUCUGAUACUGCCUGGCUUGAGUAUGGGAGAGGGAAGUGGAAUUCCUGGUGUAGAGGUGAAAUUCGUAGAUAUCAGGAGGAACACCGGUGGCGAAGGCGACUUCCUGGACCGAUACUGACGCUCAUGCACGAAAGCGUGGGGAGCAAACAGGAUUAGAUACCCUGGUAGUCCACGCCCUAAACGAUGUCGACUAGUCGUUCGGAGAGGUAACUUUCUGAGUGACGCAGCUAACGCGUGAAGUCGACCGCCUGGGGAGUACAGUCGCAAGAUUAAAACUCAAAGGAAUUGACGGGGACCCGCACAAGCGGUGGAUGAUGUGGAUUAAUUCGAUGCAACGCGAAAAACCUUACCUACCCUUGACAUGCCUGGAACUUGCCAGAGAUGGCUUGGUGCCUUCGGGAGCCAGGACACAGGUGCUGCAUGGCUGUCGUCAGCUCGUGUCGUGAGAUGUUGGGUUAAGUCCCGCAACGAGCGCAACCUUUGUCGUUAAUUGCCAUCAU
rnacentral:rRNA from 1 species